rnacentral:rRNA from 1 species
CCUUGGCAGUCAGAGGCGAUGAAAGACGUGGUAGCCUGCGAAAAGCUUCGGGGAGUCGGCAAACAGACUUUGAUCCGGAGAUGUCUGAAUGGGGGAACCCAGCCAUCAUAAGAUGGUUACCUUACACUGAAUACAUAGGUGUAUGGAGCGAACCAGGGGAACUGAAACAUCUAAGUACCCUGAGGAAAAGAAAUCAACCGAGAUUCCCUUAGUAGUGGCGAGCGAACGGGGUGCGAACCAGGGGAACUGAAACAUCUAAGUACCCUGAGGAAAAGAAAUCAACCGAGAUUCCCUUAGUAGUGGCGAGCGAACGGGGACUAGCCCUUAAGUGGCUUUGAGAUUAGCGGAACGCUCUGGAAAGUGCGGCCAUAGUGGGUGAUAGCCCUGUACGCGAAAAUCUCUUAGUCAUGAAAUCGAGUAGGACGGAGCACGAGAAACUUUGUCUGAAUAUGGGGGGACCAUCCUCCAAGGCUAAAUACUACUGACUGACCGAUAGUGAACUAGUACCGUGAGGGAAAGGCGAAAAGAACCCCGGAGAGGGGAGUGAAAUAGAUCCUGAAACCGUAUGCGUACAAGCAGUGGGAGCCUCUACUGACUGACCGAUAGUGAACUAGUACCGUGAGGGAAAGGCGAAAAGAACCCCGGAGAGGGGAGUGAAAUAGAUCCUGAAACCGUAUGCGUACAAGCAGUGGGAGCCUACUUGUUAGGUGACUGCGUACCUUUUGUAUAAUGGGUCAGCGACUUAUUUUCAGUGGCGAGCUUAACCGAAUAGGGGAGGCGUAGCGAAAGCGAGUGGUGACUGCGUACCUUUUGUAUAAUGGGUCAGCGACUUAUUUUCAGUGGCGAGCUUAACCGAAUAGGGGAGGCGUAGCGAAAGCGAGUCUUAAUAGGGCGUCUAGUCGCUGGGAAUAGACCCGAAACCGGGCGAUCUAUCCAUGGGCAGGUUGAAGGUUGGGUAACACUAACUGGAGGACCGAACCGACUACCGUUGAAAAGUUAGCGGAUGACCUGUGGAUCGGAGUGAAAGGCUAAUCAAGCUCGGAGAUAGCUGGUUCUCCUCGAAAGCUAUUUAGGUAGCGCCUCAUGUAUCACUGUAGGGGGUAGAGCACUGUUUCGGCUAGGGGGUCAUCCCGACUUACCAAACCGAUGCAAACUCCGAAUACCUACAAGUGCCGAGCAUGGGAGACACACGGCGGGUGCUAACGUCCGUCGUGAAAAGGGAAACAACCCAGACCGUCAGCUAAGGUCCCAAAGUUAUGGUUAAGUGGGAAACGAUGUGGGAAGGCUUAGACAGCUAGGAGGUUGGCUUAGAAGCAGCCACCCUUUAAAGAAAGCGUAAUAGCUCACUAGUCGAGUCGGCCUGCGCGGAAGAUGUAACGGGGCUCAAACCAUACACCGAAGCUACGGGUAUCACUUAGGUGAUGCGGUAGAGGAGCGUUCUGUAAGCCUGUGAAGGUGAGUUGAGAAGCUUGCUGGAGGUAUCAGAAGUGCGAAUGCUGACAUGAGUAACGACAAUGGGUGUGAAAAACACCCACGCCGAAAGACCAAGGUUUCCUGCGCAACGUUAAUCGACGCAGGGUUAGUCGGUCCCUAAGGCGAGGCUGAAAAGCGUAGUCGAUGGAAAACAGGUUAAUAUUCCUGUACUUCUGGUUAUUGCGAUGGAGGGACGGAGAAGGCUAGGCCAGCUUGGCGUUGGUUGUCCAAGUUUAAGGUGGUAGGCUGUUAAUAUUCCUGUACUUCUGGUUAUUGCGAUGGAGGGACGGAGAAGGCUAGGCCAGCUUGGCGUUGGUUGUCCAAGUUUAAGGUGGUAGGCUGGAAUCUUAGGUAAAUCCGGGAUUCUAAGGCCGAGAGCUGAUGACGAGUUGUCUUUUAGACGACGAAGUGGUUGAUGCCAUGCUUCCAAGAAAAGCUUCUAAGCUUCAGGUAACCAGGAACCGUACCCCAAACCGACACAGGUUAAGGCCGAGAGCUGAUGACGAGUUGUCUUUUAGACGACGAAGUGGUUGAUGCCAUGCUUCCAAGAAAAGCUUCUAAGCUUCAGGUAACCAGGAACCGUACCCCAAACCGACACAGGUGGUUGGGUAGAGAAUACCAAGGCGCUUGAGAGAACUCGGGUGAAGGAACUAGGCAAAAUGGCACCGUAACUUCGGGAGAAGGUGCGCCGGUGAGGGUGAAGGACUUGCUCCGUAAGCUCAUGCCGGUCGAAGAUACCAGGCCGCUGCGACUGUUUAUUAAAAACACAGCACUCUGCAAACACGAAAGUGGACGUAUAGGGUGUGACGCCUGCCCGGUGCCGGAAGGUUAAUUGAUGGGGUUAGCUAACGCGAAGCUCUUGAUCGAAGCCCCGGUAAACGGCGGCCGUAACUAUAACGGUCCUAAGGUAGCGAAAUUCCUUGUCGGGUAAGUUCCGACCUGCACGAAUGGCGUAACGAUGGCGGCGCUGUCUCCACCCGAGACUCAGUGAAAUUGAAAUCGCUGUGAAGAUGCAGUGUAUCCGCGGCUAGACGGAAAGACCCCGUGAACCUUUACUAUAGCUUUGCACUGGACUUUGAAUUUGCUUGUGUAGGAUAGGUGGGAGGCUUUGAAGCGUGGACGCCAGUUCGCGUGGAGCCAACCUUGAAAUACCACCCUGGCAACUUUGAGGUUCUAACUCAGGUCCGUUAUCCGGAUCGAGGACAGUGUAUGGUGGGUAGUUUGACUGGGGCGGUCUCCUCCUAAAGAGUAACGGAGGAGUACGAAGGUGCGCUCAGACCGGUCGGAAAUCGGUCGUAGAGUAUAAAGGCAAAAGCGCGCUUGACUGCGAGACAGACACGUCGAGCAGGUACGAAAGUAGGUCUUAGUGAUCCGGUGGUUCUGUAUGGAAGGGCCAUCGCUCAACGGAUAAAAGGUACUCCGGGGAUAACAGGCUGAUACCGCCCAAGAGUUCAUAUCGACGGCGGUGUUUGGCACCUCGAUGUCGGCUCAUCACAUCCUGGGGCUGAAGCCGGUCCCAAGGGUAUGGCUGUUCGCCAUUUAAAGUGGUACGCGAGCUGGGUUUAGAACGUCGUGAGACAGUUCGGUCCCUAUCUGCCGUGGACGUUUGAGAUUUGAGAGGGGCUGCUCCUAGUACGAGAGGACCGGAGUGGACGAACCUCUGGUGUUCCGGUUGUCACGCCAGUGGCAUUGCCGGGUAGCUAUGUUCGGAAUAGAUAACCGCUGAAAGCAUCUAAGCGGGAAACUAGCCUCAAGAUGAGAUCUCACUGGAACCUUGAGUUCCCUGAAGGGCCGUCGAAGACUACGACGUUGAUAGGUUGGGUGUGUAAGCGCUGUGAGGCGUUGAGCUAACCAAUACUAAUUGCCCGUGAGGCUUGACCAUAUAACACCCAAGCAAUU